GGCAUUUAGCUCGGGAAUAGCCGCCAUAAGUUGAAUGACUUAAACGCCCUUAUUAAAAGCAGUUCAAAGCCACGGAAUGGGAAUUGUGACAAUUCAACAUGGUUAUAGUUGUCAAUAAAACAAUCUAAGAUGCUUUGAUCCUCGUCCUUUUAGUUGUUGUAGUCGUUGAAAGUUGAAAGUUGAAAGCGUGAAGCUAAUGCACAAGUCUUAGAAGAGGAUCUCUAUGGCCUAUAUCCAUGCUUCUCUUUUGAGCUCCAAUAAGUUGAAGCAUCUACUGGUGAGAUGUAAGGUGGUAAGUUAUGGAGGGAUCCGAUCUCAUGAUUUCCUGCAUAGGGGCAAGAUGAGGAUACAACUUUGCCUGUAAGCGCAAAUUGUUCCCCAAUUGUAUGAUCGUGUUAACUUUAUAUAAAAGUUCUCCCCCUCUUCUUCCAGACAUUUCCCUCAGCUUCCUUCUUCUAUCAAUAUAUCUGCAUGCUAACUUCAAAAUUAAUUGAUCAACCUUUUUUGUUCUGAGAACAAAAGUUGGUUAAUAUUUCCCUUUUCUUUUAAAGUUUAGUUUCUUCCUAUUCUUGAAUUUAAUUUGCUGGCACCCAAUCAGAGAGUAACUUAGCAAAAGAUAGUUUCAGAAUAAUUUAGCAUAAGUUAUUUCUUUACAGUUUGCACUGCAUUUACUAUCCCUAAGUAUUGCAGAUCUCAAAUUCUGGGUUGUUAAAAGUAGUUGCUCUGUACUUUUUGCUGUUACCUUUUAUCCUACUAUGGGCUAAUGUUUAAAUGUUGUGGUUGUACGCAAAUGCAUGCGUAUGCUUUUAGAUGAGUGCUUUUGUCACACAGCAGGAUGUAGGUCCAUUUAAAUCUGUCAAUGUUUCUGAAUCUUCUUUUGAAUUUAGUUUAAACAUUCUAAUAUCCAUGACUUUUUGCGGGUCUACUUAUUUAAAACUUUUGAGGUUAGGAACUUUGAUGCCUCUUAUCUUAAAGUUGUUGUCCCUCCUUGCCCAUUUUGGAGGUUUAUAUUUAGAACUAAAAGAAAUUUGAUGUCUUUGCUGGCCCACGAGAAGAAACCUCUUCUGGACUUGGCAAUUAGAAUUCACCAAAUGGGUAUGGAUAGGGUUCACAUCUUUUGUGCUUCCAUGUGCAUGUAGUCUAUAGAGAUGAGGCCAAGUCCCUAAGGCCUUUUAGGCUGUCACAAUUGGGUGAUUGGCACAUUUUGUUGAAGUGUGAUGCCUGUGUCUAAUUCUUAGAGUAAGCAUGAUGAUCACUAAUCACUAAUCACUAUAAUUUAAUCAAAAUCAUGUGUCUCAUAUGAACAAUUUGCUGCAGUGUUGGUUCUUACAGCUGUAAAAGAAAAGUACUAGUUAGGACUUAGGAGGUCCAUGAUAAAGUUGUGUGGUGAUAAUAAAGUAACUAUUUUUUGGCUUUUACCAAUUUAAAGGAGGAAUAGAUCAAUGUGCAAUAAAAAUGUUUUGAGACAAUUUAAAUUGCCGACUUUCUUUUCCUCAAAAAAAAGAAUUUGCCGACUUUCUUUUCCUCAAAAAAUAAAAAUAAAAAUUGCCGACUUUCUCUGCGUACUUAGGAUCUCUAUUGCUACAACCCAUCUAAUCUCUUUCCUAAUCAAGUUGGACUUUCUGGAAUGACCCAGCUCAUUUUUUUUUUCUUUUUUUUUUUUUUUGAUAAAGCUCAUUUUCUUCUUUUAGGUAACUAACCCAACUCAUAUAUAA